rnacentral:rRNA from 1 species
AGUGAACGCUGGCGGUAGGCCUAACACAUGCCAGUCGAACGGCAGCACAGUAAGAGCUUGCUCUUACGGGUGGCGAGUGGCGGACGGGUGAGGAAUACAUCGGAAUCUACUUUUUCGUGGGGGAUAACGUAGGGAAACUUACGCUAAUACCGCAUACGACCUACGGGUGAAAGCAGGGGAUCUUCGGACCUUGCGCGAUUGAAUGAGCCGAUGUCGGAUAGCUAGUUGGCGGGGUAAAGGCCCACCAAGGCGACGAUCCGUAGCUGGUCUGAGAGGAUGAUCAGCCACACUGGAACUGAGACACGGUCCAGACUCCUACGGGAGGCAGCAGUGGGGAAUAUUGGACAAUGGGCGCAAGCCUGAUCCAGCCAUACCGCGUGGGUGAAGAAGGCCUUCGGGUUGUAAAGCCCUUUUGUUGGGAAAGAAAAGCAGCAGGUUAAUACCCCGCUGUUCUGACGGUACCCAAAGAAUAAGCACCGGCUAACUUCGUG